AGAGCAGGAAGUCGUCGUGAAGUCCGGAUUUUCGUCGGUCAUCGUGGAGAGGAUUACCGAACCCGUAAUUAAUUUUGUAGAUUGUUCGGGUGGUAAUUAAAGAACCAAAUUUUUGUCCAGCAGUCGUUUCGCGACAGCUACAAAACUAAAAAGGUUUACUUACAAAUUUCGACGCUGUUCAAUGCAGCGUCCAGUGACGGUUAGCGACGAUGGUGCAGUUCCUGACUCUUCCUUUGCGGCUGGGUGUGCCUACGACGAAGGGUCUAUAAACCAAACCGAAAACUACUUUUAAACACUUUUUCUUCCUCAAACUCCGAAACUGAUCUUCGUGCCGAUCUUCAACGUUUACUUUGUUCUUACGCUGUGCCUCACACACAUACUUUUCUCGACCCUUUCGCGCGUGCGUUGACAGCUGUAAAGGCAUCGGUUGUUUACACCCUCGGCGCUGCACCGCUCGGCAGUGCGCCCAUCCCAGCGGUC